GGCACUAUUUGCCAGGGCUGUCUUCGAACCGCAUUCCUCCUGAUCUCUGCCUUCUGAGUAGCUAGUAUCUAGGAUUACAGGCUUGAGCCACCUGCACCCGGUCUUCAGACCUUCUGAAGUCUGUCUGUGAGCCCUUUGGGAGAUGGUGAAACCAUGUAAAGAACACCUGUCUAGUGGAAUAUGGCCAAGCUGAGUCUUACAUCAGGAGCUAAGGAGGCAAGUCUGAGUAGAGCCAUGAUGGGAGAGACUCCCCGGGACCAGGGACUGUGUGAGCAAAGACACACAGUAGGAGUCAUCUUGGCAUCUUCAGAGAAAUGGACACAGUUUCAUCACUAAUUGCUAGUGUUUUGUAUUAUUAUUUGCAGUACUGAUGAAUUGUGAUUUUGUUUCAUUCUAUUUAUCAUGUGUCUGUGGAUUAUCCAUAGCCUCUGUUCCCUUGGAGGUGUUAACUUUGAGGCAAGUGUCAUCCUUUUUCAGGUUUCACAACAUAGGAAUUACAUCAGAGGAAAGAUGGAUUCCAAUUCUGGUUUUAACAUUAUUUACCACAGGGGAAAAUAUCUAUUCAUUUAUGCACACAUUCCAUCAAUGAUUGCGAACACCUACUAUGUGCCGGCCUAGUCUAGACACCAUGGGUACCAAGACAAAUAUGUCAGUGAGUUUAUCUUCAGGGAGUUUGCCAUCUAAUUUGGGAGAUCACACUUGAAUGUAAAUAGCUUCCAGAGCAUCUGGCAAUGAGUUAAUGCUUGAAAACCUCUUAUCCCAAUACUUACUACCUAGAAAACCACUCAGUGAGUGGUAUUUUAAGUUCUAUUAGGUUCCUAGGAGAAAAACUACAUGUCUUUCUGGAGAGCUUUAGAGCUCUCUUCCUAACAGAGUUGACUUUUCCUUUGUGAGCCUCCCUUUCCAAAUUCAGGAUUCAUACUAAAUUUGCAGUGUUCUCAAAGGAUCUUUCUAUAUCACUCUACCAUUGUGUAAAUGUGUGCUAUGGUGUAGGAUGUAAGUGCUGGUGCAUAGUAAAGGGUUAAUUCUUAGAUCUGGGUUGCCAAAGUCACACACAUUCUGGGGUAUUCAGAACUGAUCUGGGACCAGCUCCUAGGAGAUAACUUCUAAGACCUUGGAAUAACCUGCCUGAUAAGAGUGUCUUUGGAAACCUGAGGCCUUGGGCUAUACCAGAUAUUUUAUGCUAGUAAUGUGACUUACAUUGAAUGCCUCAUUUUGUAUGUCUAGGGCUGUAUCAAUUCGGCCUCUACAGAAACUACAGUCUGAGUAGUUGUGUGUGUGUCCAAGUAGAUCUGUGACUGCCUCCCCACCCCCACACCAAGGACAAACUCUGCACACUACAUCUUGGGGAAUCAUCAAACUUGAUGCUAUCUUGGGGAGUUUCAAUACAGAGGAUGUGAGUUCACUAUCCCCAAAUGGAUAUCAUCUGCCUCCUGUGAUCCUGAGUAAUUCCCAGGCAUGAAGGGGACAGGUUUUCCAGAUGUAUGUGGGGAACAGCACUACCAGGUGACUUAAUGCUGUUCUGCUAGGUCUCAACUGCAUUGUCAGCAUCUCUGUCUAAGUACACCCUCAGUAGAGCAAGCAAAGAAACAGGACCCAAGUCACUUUCUCCUGGAGAGUAUGGGAACUCUCCAGAGUUGAGUACCCUACCUGGAAUCCGAUAAGAAGCCCCUUGAUUACCCAUCAUGCAUUGUGCAGAUGUCAGAGGUGGUGCACUGUCUAUUGCAAAAAAAGAGGUACCAGUAUGACCACCAAUCCUCACAAAUUUUGAAUGCUCAGUCUUGAGAAUGAGCCAGGAGGCUAUACUCAAAGAACACAGCAAGCUGAGGUUGACUCAGGCUCACAUUAAUAUGUAAAUGCGAUUCAAAGGAGCCAGCAGCCAUGCAGUGUUGUCCUGGUUCUGCCAAUGGAUGUGCUGUAGAAACUCAAGUAGACCUUUAACUACUUCCUCAUUUUUAAGUGAAUUUAAGUGAAUUUGUGUUAAAUCAUCAGAUCUCAAAGAUCUCCACCAAAUACCAAGCCCUAGGAGUUCCCCAAGGACUGUGCAAGUAAAGCAGUCUCUCAGAUAGUGAUUAAUUGAACCAGUACCUAUAGGAUUAAAGACAAGAACUAUGUGCUUUUAAUUAUCCAACCCCAUUGGAGAAGAAGCCUGCAUCUCAUAUUUCACUCAGAAUUAAAACUAAAGCUCCCUUGGUAAGACAGAGCUUGAGAAGGCAGCACCCAGUAGUCACAUCAUAGCACUGUUCUAGGAAGCCUGCAUCGCUGACACCCUGAGACUAUGUCUUAGACAAUAUUGGAUUGUACAGAGCAUGGAAUAGUGGAAAAUGGCAUGGGGGGAUGGGAGAGAAGCACUGGUUAAUGGCAGCAGUUAUGGCUAAGAUCAUUUACAGUCUAUGAGAUAAUUUACAUACUAAUGCAGAUCUGUGAUGGUUUUCAUUCAUUGGAAUUUUAACUGGCAUUCAGUUCAUAGCUUUUUACAAAUGCAAAACAAUCUAUCAGUACACCAAAAGCCUCCACAGCAAGGAGGCUAGGAUGUUGGCAGCACAAAACAAAACUAGAGGGAAGUGGCACUGCAGAGUUCUAUGGAAGACCUGAGAAGCUGCAGGGCCACUUUUGGAAAGGGAGGAUGUCCACUGGUCAAUGCAUGCAUGUAAAUUACCUGAACAUAGUUGCAAGUCAAAUAGGCAUUCGAAUAUAAGCAUCAAAAGUACUUUUCCAAUGAGUAGGAUACAGAUGCAGUUGUCCAUGGGUAAUAUUCUAAGUUAGCAUUCCUAAAUAAUAUGCCUGAUUCAGAACAGGGUCACAGACAAUGGUGGAGAAAUAAGGCUCUGAGGAGGGGACCUGACAAGAUUUAUGUAGGCAAGAUGUUAAUAAUCCUACCAUGUACAAAAGGGCUCCAAUUCCAACAAGUAAUUAGGGUCAAAGUCAAGGACCCUAGACGUAGCAAAUAGAUCAAAUGGAGCAUGACUUAUGUGCAGGAUGGCUUGUAAGUUAGGCUCACAACACCAAGGUAAUUGUUGCUGAUCCUACUAAUACCUGCCUUCCACAAUGGGUGCAGGUACAUAGACCAGAGGAAGAAUAAAGGGGUGCGUGAGCUGAUGGUAGAGGAGAAGGGAAGUCAGGAAUUAUGAUCAGAGCACAUUGUAUAUAUGUAUGAAAAUGUCAUAAUGAAGCCCAGUAUUUUAUAGGUUUAUAUACACUAAUAAGAAGCUCCUGGAAAAAAAGAAGGUAAUCGUUCACUUCCCAUUCCACUCCACUUUAAGUACAGAAAUCUCAUUAACUCUCAUGCUGACAGUGUCCCUACAUCUGUAGAGUCUUACGGAUAUAUGAGAGCUAGUCCACUGUAAAAAUGCAAGUGCUUCACAUGCACAGGAAAUUAAUGUGAGUCAACUCCCUGUAUAGCUAUCCUUAUCUCAACUAGUAAAAACCCUUGUUCCUUCUAUUAUUGCUUAU